CUUACACAUGCAAGUCGGACGGCAGCGCGGGCUUCGGCCUGGCGGCGAGUGGCGAACGGGUGAGUAAUACAUCGGAACGUGUCCUGGAGUGGGGGAUAGCCCGGCGAAAGCCGGAUUAAUACCGCAUACGCUCUGUGGAGGAAAGCGGGGGAUCUUCGGACCUCGCGCUCAAGGGGCGGCCGAUGGCAGAUUAGCUAGUUGGUGGGGUAAAGGCCUACCAAGGCGACGAUCUGUAGCUGGUCUGAGAGGACGACCAGCCACACUGGGACUGAGACACGGCCCAGACUCCUACGGGAGGCAGCAGUGGGGAAUUUUGGACAAUGGGCGCAAGCCUGAUCCAGCAAUGCCGCGUGUGUGAAGAAGGCCUUCGGGUUGUAAAGCACUUUUGUCCGGAAAGAAAACCUCUGCCCUAAUACGGUGGGGGGAUGACGGUACCGGAAGAAUAAGCACCGGCUAACUACGUGCCAGCAGCCGCGGUAAUACGUAGGGUGCAAGCGUUAAUCGGAAUUACUGGGCGUAAAGCGUGCGCAGGCGGUUCGUUAAGACAGAUGUGAAAUCCCCGGGCUUAACCUGGGAACUGCAUUUGUGACUGGCGGACUGGAGUAUGGCAGAGGGGGGUAGAAUUCCACGUGUAGCAGUGAAAUGCGUAGAGAUGUGGAGGAAUACCGAUGGCGAAGGCAGCCCCCUGGGCCAAUACUGACGCUCAUGCACGAAAGCGUGGGGAGCAAACAGGAUUAGAUACCCUGGUAGUCCACGCCCUAAACGAUGUCAACUGGUUGUCGGGUCUUCAUUGACUUGGUAACGUAGCUAACGCGUGAAGUUGACCGCCUGGGGAGUACGGUCGCAAGAUUAAAACUCAAAGGAAUUGACGGGGACCCGCACAAGCGGUG
rnacentral:rRNA from 1 species